ensembl:lncRNA
UUGGCUGUGGUCUGUGUCUGUCAGACGCAGGGCGUGGUUCUCCCAUCCCCCGUGCAGGAGGCGGUUCUGCAGCAGGUGUUUAACAGGGCCAAUCUGACCACAUCAUCAGACACUGAUCUACAGUUCUGGAUCCUGAACAUACUGCCGCCCUUCAUAGCCAACAUUACAGUCCAACUUAUCCAUCAUCCCUCUGUCUCCACAGGCCCCGCCCCGCUGCGCUGCUAUGGUGACCAGAGCUACUACGCUUUCCUGAGCUCCUCCUUCAUGAGUUUCCAGUUCCCCGAUCUGACCACCUUCCUGUCGCUGAUGCCGCCGGCCCGUGUGCCAGAGCUGAUGGAGUCGGUGUCUCCAGCGGAGGUCAGCAGUCUCCUCAACCGGCCCAACGCUGUGGACGAUGUUACCCAAAUCUGCCGGUUUUUCAGAAUUUACCCAAAGACACCCCAGUACUUACAGACGGUAUGGACAUCUGUCACUCCUUUAAAAGUUUAUAAACUAAUGUAAUGACUCUCUAGAUUUAAACCUGAUAAUAUCUGGUUCUGAAAACCUUAUAUUAACCGCUCAUGUCGUUUAGCAGCUUCUGAAUUCCUCUCAUUUACUGUGAAAUGUCCAAAGCAGCUCCGGUUUAUAGUCCUAACUGUGACGUGGUAGCAGUAAAUGAAGAAGCGUCUCUCUGUGUGUCCCGCAGGAGCCGCUGUUGCCCGUGGGUUUGGCCCGGCAGGUGUUGUCCUGCGUCUGGCCUCAGGUUCUGAAGCUGGACGUCCAGUCUGAGGUGAAUCAGUGGUUUGAUCUUCGACUGGUUCAGUACCUGCCUCUCCUCACCCCACAGUUCAUCGCUCCAGACGUCAUGCUAAACGCCUCCUGUCUCUCCUUCAAGAAGUUGUGAGUAGCAGGUUGCCCACAUCACAUUGCUGUGCAGUCACAUCAGAGAAAUUCUGGAGAGAUUUUGCAGACAAAAAAGGUCCGUGCAGUAGGGUAGCGAUGUACCGUAUGAAGCACAGCUCACUCAGAAGUCCCUUUCACAGAGCUCUGGUUAGUGUGACCGUACCUUCACUAUGUGUUCCAGUUGUGUAAAGACGUUGUUCUUCACUUAGGGGUAAACGUUUCAGAUGCAAACUCCAAAUGAACUUAAUUUUGGCCUAAUUUUGUUCAAAAUAACGUCACAUCAGGUUGUUCUUUAAUUUCGCUAGAAUCUCAUCGAGGCUUAGUGCAACUAGUUUUCUUCUAAAGACAUCUAACGAUGACAGAUUCUGUGCGUUUCUCUGUUCAGUGUUUCAGUGAUGGCUAAUUACAACUACACUGCAGCGGAGUUUUCUCCGAGUGACAUCUACAGCACCAUCCUGGUCUACCUCAACACCUGUGAGUCGCUCUGAUCGACGGCGUGACUGAUUCUGCUGUCCAGUAAUGUGAGGGUUUGUCUGAUGCUGAGUCACGUUUGUCUUUGUGUUCUCAGCCUCAGAUUCAACUCCUAAAUGCUAUAACACCUCCAACCCUGAUCUCAGCUCCACCGCCUGGUUCGCAGACUACAUCUCCGUCUUCUUGAGCUUCGUCACACUGGACGACCUCCUCCAGUUUGGCUCCAUUCAGGUGUGUCAACUCACAACUUGAAGAGAUCUCAGAUCUGUUUUCUGUCGUCUGAAUCCGAUCACUCUUAACGGAAUAGUCCAUCUUCACUCUAAUGUCGUUCCAAACUCAACGUGUUUGUUUUUCAGCCGUUCCUCGUGAACCUGGAGAACCUGCAGCUCUUCGGUCAGACCAGCGUUCCUGAUGAUGUCAUGGAGUACUACGUGACCCUGCUGUUCGAGGCGAAUCCGUCCUUCAGCGCCUACUAGUGAGAGACACCAACAACACUCUCAAUAACCAAUCUCACACUGAAAAUAAAGCUUCCCAAAGCAGGUUUUCA